GCUUAUACCGCCAGAUUUAGCGAACUGGUGGCCCUCUGCCCCAAUAUGGUUCCCACUGAAGGGAAAAAGAUCGAAAGGUACAUACGGGGGCUAGUGCCUCCGUAUCAGGGGAAUGUCCUAUCAUCAAACCCCGCUACCUUCGAUAGUGCCAAGCGACUGACAUAGCGACUCAUUGACCAUGGAGUNCCCGCUACCUUCGACAGUGCCAAGCGACUGACACAGCGACUCAUUGACCAUGGAGUCAAAACCCCUGCAACAACAACCACCCUAGCCAUCCCGGAACCCUCCAAACCCGCUGACACUAAGCGGAAGUUCUGGGAAGACAAGAAGAAACAGCGAGCUGCUAAAAAGCAGCAAGUUGUGGCUGUACAUGCCGCGAUAACCCCUGCUGCUGAAACUGCUCCGGUGAGGCAGUAUGCUGGAAGUUUGCCUAAGUGCAACAAAUGCAACUUCCACCACAACGGCCCCUGCCGUGAAAUGCAGUGCUCUAACUACAAUAGGAAAGGACACACCGUCCAUUUCUGUAAAUCC
rnacentral:lncRNA from 1 species